rnacentral:siRNA from 1 species
UCCAUUGGUGAUUCAUCAACCAU